rnacentral:rRNA from 1 species
UACGUAGGGAGCAAGCGUUGUUCGGAUUUACUGGGCGUAAAGGGCGCGUAGGCGGCGCGGUAAGUCACUUGUGAAAUCUCUGAGCUUAACUCAGAACGGCCAAGUGAUACUGCAGUGCUAGAGUGCAGAAAGGGCAAUCGGAAUUCUUGGUGUAGCGGUGAAAUGCGUAGAUAUCAAGAGGAACACCUGAGGCGAAGGCGGGUUGCUAGGCUGACACUGACGCUGAGUGCGCGAAAGCGUGGGGAGCGAACAGG